rnacentral:lncRNA from 1 species
AGAACCUGAAUAAUUUAUAGCAAUCUUGAACACUCCACCACAGACCGGUUGGAUUUGUUCUUGAAUUCUUCAAUCGGACAGAAAAAUAAAAGCGAAGGAAUAAAUAAAAAAACUAGAUUCUAACGUAAGGUUAGAUCCGGUGAAAGAUACACAAUAGUUUCCGGUGUAGAAACUAUUGUGUGAAAAAUUAAUUAAGUGCUGAAAGCUUA